GGGUGUGUCUAGGAAUGUCGUCCAUGA
rnacentral:piRNA from 1 species